rnacentral:rRNA from 1 species
AAGCGAAGAGGUCACACCCGUUCCCAUACCGAACACGGAAGUUAAGCUCUUCAGCGCCGAUGGUAGUUGGGGGUCUCCCCCUGUGAGAGUAGGACGCCGCCAAGC